UGCGUGAUCGUAUAGUGGUGAGUAUCCCCGCCUGUCACGCGCGGAGACCGGGGUUCGAUUCCCCGUCGGGGAG
rnacentral:tRNA from 1 species